CAACACCCAGAACGGCGUCUUCCAUGAAUUCAACCCUCAAAAUUUUAAUAAUCAACAGAUCAGUAAUCUGCCUAACGAUCCGUUCAUGGUGGAUCCUCGAUUUUACCCUCAGGACCACCAGAUAGUUGGCCCGCAGAGGCCUACCUCCAGCGGCAUGAGCAGCACCGUCGAGUCGUUUAGUGGACCCAGGCAGCUGGCACCUCCGCAACUUAUUCAGCCGCAAAGGAGAUAUCCCAGGUCGCCGCCGAUGUCUCCUGACGACUGUCACAGCGACUGUGAUUCCUCCUCCUCCGUUGUGGAUGAUGGUGAAUGCGACGUCGCCGCCUCCUUAUGUAAAAAGCCUUUACCUUUCGACCUCAACUUCCCGCCGCCAAUGGACGCUUAUGGUGUAGACUCUGACGUGUGCGACCUAGCUUGCACGGCCCUCCGACUUUGAUGUUGUGUCCUGAUGACGACCAAAUCAUUUGGAAAACUCAUCUAGUUAAAUUACUUAUUUCUUUUCCUUUUUUUAAUUUUUUGUUUUUAUUUUGCGGAGGAAAACCCUAAAAAAAUGAAAAAAAAAAUGCUCAUAGCUAGGGUAAAGCCUUUGGUGAGAUAAAAACUAAAGUGGGUUGGAGGUCAGGCUGCUAUGGGUAUCCUGUUGUUUGAAGAGGAUUUACUUGAAUUAGAUUUAUAAAAUUGAUGUUAUGGAAAAUAGAGGAUAUUAUGAUGGAUGGAUAUUCAGUGUCCCUUUGUGAUAUUAUUGUCUUUCGAUGAUUGCGUGUCAUCGACUGUCCUAUUGACUUCUUUGGAAUGUAUAUGAAAUCUGUUGUCGAAGACUUGUGUAUUGUUUUAUUUACUUUUAAAACUAGAUGUAAGAACGUCUACUAUCUAUUUGUUAUGUGUCGUUUCUGGAUUUUUUUCUUGCUGAUUUAUGAAAUCCAUUUUCGGAUCUUUUAAUGUAAAAAUGGAAGUCUCAUCUCAUUCAAUGCUACAAGAACGACUACUUAUGCUGCACUUGUGCGAUAAAUUUUGUUCCAUGUUAUGUUCAUUUCAUUUGUUUCAUAUGGUUUGCCAUUCUUUUGGAUGAUUUGAGCUGCAAGUUGUUUGCUAGCUUUAUAUACAUCUCAUGUGAUUAACAUGUUGGUCAUUAGCUAUCCGGAUGGACUGGUGUAACUUUAGUUUUUCUUGCAGGCUUGUUUGAAUUGUUGUCCUGUCUGCAUUUUUAGUUUGGUAUGGCUCAGUAGUAAGAUUUGAUGUACUGGCUUAUCUGAGCUUUUACUACUUAGGUUUGCUACUAUCUAUUGAUUCUGAUAUGCUUGAAGGUAUCAUGAGUUAUGAAAGCAAUCUUCUUAGCUUUUUGUCAAGUUCAAGUUUUUGCCUUUGUGCUUUUGUGCUUAACAAUAACCCUAUCUCUUCCUCGAGGUGUAGGGAGCUUUAUGCUAUCUCUUUUUUGUUUUUACAUGGUUCAUGCCCAAGACUUGUGCAUGAGGUUUCCUCUUUGUUUAAAAUCACUGCAUUCAAGUUUAACGUGUUUGAUGACUUUCGGGUAACAGUUUCUUAUGGUUAGAUUUCUAUAAUGAUUAGAUAUGUGUGGAUAAAUUCAUUUCCUGUACAUUUAUACUGGCAGAUCAAUAUGGUUAGAUUUUAUGGAUGAUUGGUCAUUAAUAUGCCGUUACUGGUUUACAACCUGCAUUGUCCAUGUCGCGACAAAAUAGAAGCAGAUUGGAAUUUAAUACCGUUUACUUAAAAGUAGCUAUUCAUCAGAAUAUCUCCUAAGCCUCCUUUUAAGAUGCUAAAUUGACUGCAAUAUUGAUCGAUUAAUACCUUUUUAGCAUGUUUGUUAGUGUUCUCAGUCAUUUUAUCGUGUUUAUUUCUUUUCAUGCUACGUUAUACAGUCAUUUGUAUGCAAGUUCUUUACACAUUCACUACCUCAAUUCUUUAUUGCAAAUUCUUUCCCGUAAUGGGGGCCAAACAGGGGCUUAAAAUGAAGUUUAACCAUUAUCAUUCAUCACCUAUUAUAAAGUGUCACGUACUUAUCAUAAACUAAGUACGGAAGUUUAGUUUUAGCCCUGGUUUGAGUCACAUUAUUGGAAUGAAAAUGUAUUUUUAAAUAGUGUAAUAAUGAAAAAUAUGUGGUUAAAAAAUAAAUAAAAAUUUUGAUGUACGUAUAAUAAUAUUUUAUCGAAAAAUGUGUGAUUGAAAUGAUUUCAAACAUUAUUCAAAAAUAUAUUUUUUUCAAAAAAUAUGGUUCAAAUAAGCCUAAAUUAAAAAGUUGUUUUGGUCUUUUCAUAAAGGCGGAGAAAUCGAGAAACCAAAAGAAAUCCACCCGAAAAAAGGAAAAAAAAAUUCAAAAAAAAAAAAACUCUGCUCUCUCUCUCCACCCAUUUCUAAAGGUUGAACCCCAAUCUUAGGGGCCCCCACUGAUCCUGUCCUGGGUCAUCGUGGAGGAGGUAAAUCGCAGGAUGUGCCUCUCAGGAGCCAGGGUAGAGAGCAUAUGAAUAGGCCAAGGCUGUUAACCCAUAUGGUAACUCCCGCUUGCAACAAAAUCAAUUCCACCUUGCGGGGAAUCGAACUCUGCACACUGCAGCGCUGAGUCCUAUCCGCUCUCCCCUUUGCCACUGGGAGAUAUGCCUGGGGGCCUCUCCACCCAUUUCUCUUUACACGCACAGUAGAGAGAGAAAAAAUUAUCGCAAUCUGGUCUUUCUCCCUGAUUUUGUUUGGUUUUUUGUACAUAUUUAUUUAUUCUCUCUCUAAUCUAUUUCUAAAGCCUUUUCUUGUGAGAGAAAGAUUUGUUUGUUUUCCUUCUCGGAAAUUAUAUUUUUGCUGCUGUAUCGAUCGAAUCUGACAAUGAGGCGAGGCAGAGGAGCGACGGCGGCGGCAAGGCAAAUGGCGGCGAACGGCAGAGAGGCCAACGGAUCUGGAGGAUCUAAGGAGAUCAAAUUUCGGGGAGUGAGAAAGAGACCAUGGGGAAAAUUUGCUGCAGAGAUCAGAAACCCUUGGAAGAAGACUGGGGUGUGGCUAGGUACGUUUGAUUCUGCUGAAGACGCGGCUAGGGCCUACGACGCUGCUGCUCUAUCUCUCCGGGGCCACAAGGCUAAGACGAACUUUCCGUUAUCCAACACCCAGAACGGCGUCUUCCAUGAAUUCAACCCUCAAAAUUUUAAUAAUCAACAGAUCAGUAAUCUGCCUAACGAUCCGUUCAUGGUGGAUCCUCGAUUUUACCCUCAGGACCACCAGAUAGUUGGCCCGCAGAGGCCUACCUCCAGCGGCAUGAGCAGCACCGUCGAGUCGUUUAGUGGACCCAGGCAGCUGGCACCUCCGCAACUUAUUCAGCCGCAAAGGAGAUAUCCCAGGUCGCCGCCGAUGUCUCCUGACGACUGUCACAGCGACUGUGAUUCCUCCUCCUCCGUUGUGGAUGAUGGUGAAUGCGACGUCGCCGCCUCCUUAUGUAAAAAGCCUUUACCUUUCGACCUCAACUUCCCGCCGCCAAUGGACGCUUAUGGUGUAGACUCUGACGUGUGCGACCUAGCUUGCACGGCCCUCCGACUUUGAUGUUGUGUCCUGAUGACGACCAAAUCAUUUGGAAAACUCAUCUAGUUAAAUUACUUAUUUCUUUUCCUUUUUUUAAUUUUUUGUUUUUAUUUUGCGGAGGAAAACCCUAAAAAAAUGAAAAAAAAAAAUGCUCAUAGCUAGGGUAAAGCCUUUGGUGAGAUAAAAACUAAGGUGGGUUGGAGGUCAGGCUGCUAUGGGUAUCCUGUUGUUUGAAGAGGAUUUACUUGAAUUAGAUUUAUAAAAUUGAUGUUAUGGAAAAUAGAGGAUAUUAUGAUGGAUGGAUAUUCAGUGUCCCUUUGUGAUAUUAUUGUCUUUCGAUGAUUGCGUGUCAUCGACUGUCCUAUUGACUUCUUUGGAAUGUAUAUGAAAUCUGUUGUCGAAGACUUGUGUAUUGUUUUAUUUACUUUUAAAACUAGAUGUAAGAACGUCUACUAUCUAUUUGUUAUGUGUCGUUUCUGGAUUUUUUUCUUGCUGAUUUAUGAAAUCCAUUUUCGGAUCUUUUAAUGUAAAAAUGGAAGUCUCAUCUCAUUCAAUGCUACAAGAACGACUACUUAUGCUGCACUUGUGCGAUAAAUUUUGUUCCAUGUUAUGUUCAUUUCAUUUGUUUCAUAUGGUUUGCCAUUCUUUUGGAUGAUUUGAGCUGCAAGUUGUUUGCUAGCUUUAUAUACAUCUCAUGUGAUUAACAUGUUGGUCAUUAGCUAUCCGGAUGGACUGGUGUAACUUUAGUUUUUCUUGCAGGCUUGUUUGAAUUGUUGUCCUGUCUGCAUUUUUAGUUUGGUAUGGCUCAGUAGUAAGAUUUGAUGUACUGGCUUAUCUGAGCUUUUACUACUUAGGUUUGCUACUAUCUAUUGAUUCUGAUAUGCUUGAAGGUAUCAUGAGUUAUGAAAGCAAUCUUCUUAGCUUUUUGUCAAGUUCAAGUUUUUGCCUUUGUGCUUUUGUGCUUAACAAUAACCCUAUCUCUUCCUCGAGGUGUAGGGAGCUUUAUGCUAUCUCUUUUUUGUUUUUACAUGGUUCAUGCCCAAGACUUGUGCAUGAGGUUUCCUCUUUGUUUAAAAUCACUGCAUUCAAGUUUAACGUGUUUGAUGACUUUCGGGUAACAGUUUCUUAUGGUUAGAUUUCUAUAAUGAUUAGAUAUGUGUGGAUAAAUUCAUUUCCUGUACAUUUAUACUGGCAGAUCAAUAUGGUUAGAUCUUAUGGAUGAUUGGUCAUUAAUAUGCCGUUACUGGUUUACAACCUGCAUUGUCCAUGUCGCGACAAAAUAGAAGCAGAUUGGAAUUUAAUACCGUUUACUUAAAAGUAGCUAUUCAUCAGAAUAUCUCCUAAGCCUCCUUUUAAGAUGCUAAAUUGACUGCAAUAUUGAUCGAUUAAUACCUUUUUAGCAUGUUUGUUAGUGUUCUCAGUCAUUUUAUCGUGUUUAUUUCUUUUCAUGCUACGUUAUACAGUCAUUUGUAUGCAAGUUCUUUACACAUUCACUACCUCAAUUCUUUAUUGCAAAUUCUUUUUUUAGUCGUUCCCUUCUUAAUUGUUUGAACCGGCCUAUCCUUCUGCACAGCAGAAAUUUGUUUCUUCGAAUUUUCAUUAGGAUAAGCAAAGUGCAUUGUAAAAUUGUAAGUUAGCAAAUCCAUUUUUUUGUUCCUCGUGAGGAUCAGUGUUCUAUCUGUUCUGCUCUGUUCAUUUGGUAGGUUAUGAUGUGUUCAUUCUUACAUCAUUGGGUGCAUGUAUUUAUCAUGGCAUUGACAGCACCAUUAUAAUGAAAGCAGAUUCUCAGGUUUCAAUGUAAACCGCGCGAUCACUGUGAAUUUUUGUUUGGUUCAUAGCAUUGAUCACUUGUUAUGAAUUUUCUGUUUGUUGUAGCAUGAUUUCUUGUUGAUGCGACCUGUGCUUCUGGUCGAUAACCCGAACUUAUCCAUUUUUGUUCAUUCUGAACAAUGUGAAAAUAUAGUAGUUCUUGAUUUUAACCCUAGAACACACCUUGGUUUUAUGUUUGACCACUUGGAAAGUGUAUAUUGUCGUGCUUGGGUAAAUGGGUAGUGCAAAGCACAAACAUGUAGGUUGUAGCUUUUAAGACUAUGCCUGGCCAACCACUUUCACUCUUUUUCUAACCGGCCAAAUAUAUUAGCCCUACCGGUCACGCGUCUUUCGUUCAAAAUUUGAACGCUAUUAAUAUUGAAUGGUACUAGUAUAUUCGUUCAUAUUUACCAACCAAUAAUUAUAUUCUAUCAUCUUUUCAAUCAUUUUUCUUAAAAAAUUCAAAUUUUAAUUUCAAUCAUACAUUUAAAAUUAUUGUUCAUUAUUAUCUACACAAUAUGUGCCCGAGACAUCUAACACCUCUCAUGAAUUAUUUUAAUUUUUGAACUCAAAUAAAUAGUAACUACAUAAAGGUAUAUUUCCCAAGCGAGGACAUAUCACUCAACACCACCACGCAAAUUACAGUAUUUGAUGCCUUCAAUUUUGAUAGCGCUGAGUCCUAUCCGCUCUCCCCUUUGCCACUGGGAGAUAUGCCUGGGGGCCUCUCCACCCAUUUCUCUUUACACGCACAGUAGAGAGAGAAAAAAUUAUCGCAAUCUGGUCUUUCUCCCUGAUUUUGUUUGGUUUUUUGUACAUAUUUAUUUAUUCUCUCUCUAAUCUAUUUCUAAAGCCUUUUCUUGUGAGAGAAAGAUUUGUUUGUUUUCCUUCUCGGAAAUUAUAUUUUUGCUGCUGUAUCGAUCGAAUCUGACAAUGAGGCGAGGCAGAGGAGCGACGGCGGCGGCAAGGCAAAUGGCGGCGAACGGCAGAGAGGCCAACGGAUCUGGAGGAUCUAAGGAGAUCAAAUUUCGGGGAGUGAGAAAGAGACCAUGGGGAAAAUUUGCUGCAGAGAUCAGAAACCCUUGGAAGAAGACUCGGGUGUGGCUAGGUACGUUUGAUUCUGCUGAAGACGCGGCUAGGGCCUACGACGCUGCUGCUCUAUCUCUCCGGGGCCACAAGGCUAAGACGAACUUUCCGUUAUCCAACACCCAGAACGGCGUCUUCCAUGAAUUCAACCCUCAAAAUUUUAAUAAUCAACAGAUCAGUAAUCUGCCUAACGAUCCGUUCAUGGUGGAUCCUCGAUUUUACCCUCAGGACCACCAGAUAGUUGGCCCGCAGAGGCCUACCUCCAGCGGCAUGAGCAGCACCGUCGAGUCGUUUAGUGGACCCAGGCAGCUGGCACCUCCGCAACUUAUUCAGCCGCAAAGGAGAUAUCCCAGGUCGCCGCCGAUGUCUCCUGACGACUGUCACAGCGACUGUGAUUCCUCCUCCUCCGUUGUGGAUGAUGGUGAAUGCGACGUCGCCGCCUCCUUAUGUAAAAAGCCUUUACCUUUCGACCUCAACUUCCCGCCGCCAAUGGACGCUUAUGGUGUAGACUCUGACGUGUGCGACCUAGCUUGCACGGCCCUCCGACUUUGAUGUUGUGUCCUGAUGACGACCAAAUCAUUUGGAAAACUCAUCUAGUUAAAUUACUUAUUUCUUUUCCUUUUUUUAAUUUUUUGUUUUUAUUUUGCGGAGGAAAACCCUAAAAAAAUGAAAAAAA
rnacentral:lncRNA from 1 species